AAGUCGUAACAAGGUUUCCGUAGGUGAACCUGCGGAAGGAUCAUUAACGAAAUUAUGACUGGGGGUUGUAGCUGGCCUAUAAAACGGGCACGUGCACGCUCCUUUCACAAUCCACACACACCUGUGCACCUUCGCGGGGGUCUUCUUUUCCUUGGGAAGUCGAUGCAAGUCGAUUGUACCUCGGGGGGAGGGCUCGCGUCCCUUUACACACACCCUUUUGUAUGUCUUAAGAAUGUCUACUCGAUGUAAUAAAACGCAUCUAAUCAA
rnacentral:misc_RNA from 1 species